rnacentral:rRNA from 1 species
UACAGAGGGUGCGAGCGUUAAUCGGAAUUACUGGGCGUAAAGCGCGCGUAGGCGGCUUUUCAAGUCGAUUGUGAAAUCCCCGGGCUUAACCUGGGAACUGCAGUCGAGACUGUCUAGCUAGAGUAUGGGAGAGGGAAGUGGAAUUUCAGGUGUAGCGGUGAAAUGCGUAGAUAUCAGGAGGAACACCGAUGGCGAAGGCAGCUCGCUGGGACGGUACUGACGCUGAGGCGCGAAAGCGUGGGGAGCAAACAGG